UACGUAGGGUGCGAGCGUUAUCCGGAAUUAUUGGGCGUAAAGGGCUCGUAGGCGGUUUGUCGCGUCGGGAGUGAAAACACUGGGCUUAACUCAGUGCUUGCUUCCGAUACGGGCAGACUAGAGGUAUUCAGGGGAGAACGGAAUUCCUGGUGUAGCGGUGAAAUGCGCAGAUAUCAGGAGGAACACCGGUGGCGAAGGCGGUUCUCUGGGAAUGUCCUGACGCUGAGGAGCGAAAGUGUGGGGAGCGAACAGG
rnacentral:rRNA from 1 species